UCAUGAUCAUCCAUUCUCUCUCUCUCUUCCCCUACAAGUCACACCAUUUUCAUCUUCCCUUACCUAAAUAUUCAUCUUCUCUUCACCUUCUAGAUUCAAGCCAAGAUUCAUUCUUUAUGUUACAUCAAGUUGGCUUAUGAUGAUCAAAGCAUGGAGGAUGUGUUAGGGUGAGCUUUGAGGAUGUUGUGGUUUGGAUAGCUAGCUUCAAGAGGCAAUAAAUUGUGCGUUGAAAUUGAAAGAACCGUUGGGCUACAACAGUAUAAAAAGAAUGCAAUAAUAGAGGAGAGAUCAUCAAUUAACUCUGGAUCAACUCCGGAGACGACGGCAGAUGAACUUGGGCGAAUUAAUCUAGCGACGGGGAUCUUCUCAGUUCGUGGUCAGCAAUCAUUCAGCGCAGCAAGCAAAUUCUCAACGACUUUAGCGAAUUCUGUGGUUCAGCGGCAAUCCUGGUUCAAUUUGCUUAGCUUCUCAUAAUUCAUUUCAAUUCGUUUAAUGGAAUUGUAAUGUUGAUUUUGAGGAUUUCCGUACUGCCUUUUUGCUAAUGAUUAGUUUUUACUGCCAAUCCUCAAUGAUGUUGCUUAAAUUAAUUAAUACUGGUCUAUUUAUGAUUUGCUAAAUAUUGUACCCUAGGAAUAUGAUACAAUUUACUAUUAAUACUUUACAUUGAUAUAAGUUUUAAUGUUGCCAA